GAUGAACGCUGGCUACAGGCUUAACACAUGCAAGUCGAGGGGAAACGACGGGGAAGCUUGCUUCCCCGGGCGUCGACCGGCGCACGGGUGAGUAACGCGUAUCCAACCUGCCUCUGACUGAGGGAUAACCCGUCGAAAGUCGGCCUAAUACCUCACGGCAUCGUCUGCGGGCAUCCAACGACGAUUAAAGAUUUCAUCGGUCAGAGAUGGGGAUGCGUCUGAUUAGCUUGUUGGCGGGGUAACGGCCCACCAAGGCGACGAUCAGUAGGGGUUCUGAGAGGAAGGUCCCCCACAUUGGAACUGAGACACGGUCCAAACUCCUACGGGAGGCAGCAGUGAGGAAUAUUGGUCAAUGGGCGAGAGCCUGAACCAGCCAAGUAGCGUGCAGGAUGACGGCCCUAUGGGUUGUAAACUGCUUUUAUGCGGGGAUAAAGUGAGGGACGUGUCCUUCAUUGCAGGUACCGCAUGAAUAAGGACCGGCUAAUUCCGUG
rnacentral:rRNA from 1 species